GGACCUGUAGCUCAGCGGUAGAGCAUCUGAUUCCAGCUUGCAGUCUACUGUUCCAAUGUUAAUGUAUUUGCCUCCAGAAUCAUCCGUUCAAAUCGUCGGGUUCU